AAUACCUUCCAAAUUGCAAUUGAGGUUUCAGGUUUGAUCGUAGUUUAUACUGAUAUAUAUAUCUGUAAAUUCCAAUUUCAACCUGCUUUAAUUCCGAUUCCGAUUCCACCCGCACAAGAAUUGCACUGUUGCAAGCUUGCCAAAGUUUUGGAAUUCCAAUUUCCGACCAUGAUCGGGAACCGCACAUUCUCGAUAAGCUUCCUUCUCUAUUCAACUAUGGCGGAGGAGGAUCCUCUUCCUCGAAAUUUCGUGCCGCUGCAAAUGCUAUCCACGACCGGUGCCAGAUUCCUAAAAAAAGGGGGAAGAUGAAGCUUUCAAUUCAAUGCAGGGAAUGGUAAAGGAAAAGGAAAAGACAAAGAAAAGAUGCCGAUCACAGGAAGGAAACAGGGAUUUGAUCUUGAUGCAACUCCAUCCGGUGACAGUCAUCGCAUUGCAAAACUGAACCAUUUGAGGCUGAUGAUGCCUAUGAUACCGCCGCCCGGUAAAUUGUCUAGUGUCUGCUUACUUUAUUUCACUCUUUUCUAUACGUAUGUUAUUUCAAAGCAUUCUAAAUUCUUGCACUUGCUAACUGAAUGGUGUUGAUACAUUUUGCUUUCUAUUUGUCAUUCUUAUUGGUUUUGACUACAUUUGAGAAAAAUUAAUAUAAAUUUUAUGCCUUAUAGCUGUCAAUAUUUCUUCAGUUUAAUAUUGCGGUUUUAGGAUUCAGCAAGCUUAUAGAAAGUUUUCCCAAUGAGAGAAAUAAUGCCUUGGGACUUGGAGGCAUCCCAAUGGAUGGAGAGGGAGGGGGUUCUGAAGAAGCCCAACCAUCUCAGAAUAGGAGCUCAAUGAAUCCAUCCCAUUGGAAGGUUUUUCCCUCCAGACCACCGGGAUUUUGAUGUAGGUUUCGUGUGGCAACCAGGUGCUGCGUUUUUUUUUUUUUUUUUCUAAAAAAUAUUUAAGUAAUUUUUGUACAAUGUUUAACAUGCGUUUUUGGGUUGUGUUGGAAUUGAGCUGUUUUGUUGCCCACUGAUUUAGUUAUGUUGGGAUUGAAAUUGAGCUGUGCUGCUUUCUAUUUGUUGGGUUAUAUUGGAAUUGAUAUCGAGAUGUAUUGCUUCCUAUUUUUUGGGUUACAUUGGAAUUAAAAUUAAGAUGUAUUGCUUCCUAUUUGUUGGUUGCAGAGAAAUUUGGUUGUAAUCAUUCUCAUUUGUUAGUUUAUAUUGUAAGUAAGUCGUAAUUCUUCAUAUUUAUUGAGUUAUGUUGUAAGUGAAUCGUACUACUUCUCAUUUGUUUAAUUAUAUUGAUUUGAGUCCUAUGUUUGAUUCAAUAUUCUUGUUCUUAAAUAAAUAAAUAUAGCAGAAAUAGAGAGAAUAUUGGGGCCAUAACUUUUGCAGGUGUUUCCAGGAGAAAGGGAGAAGGAUAUAUAUGUUAAACUUGAAACAAGAAUGUUUUUAAAUUCAUGUCGUGGUAAGCAUUGACUAUUUGUCAAGAGAACAAUCUUCCACGAAAAAUGCACCUGGUUAGGAUAUAAAUGCAGUUUCGUUCUGAAAUUUUUUGUUUUGGUCUUAAGAAAUGAAGUUAUUCAAAGUGCAAAUCUCGCAAAAAGUGAUGUUGUUCAUGUUGUAGCCCUUGAUUUGUCAUUUAUAAAUUUAUGCAUAGUUUAUGUAUCAAUAUGCUUGGUUCAACCAUACAACCAAAGGCUGUAGACUAGGUGAGCGUUGCUGAAACUUUGAUUGUUGCGAUUUGAAUUUGGUACUUGGAUUGUAUUUUCACAUACGUUUCUCUUUCCAACUUGGGAGAAAGUUUCACAUUUUAGGAUUGUGAUUGGUUUGUGAAUUUGUGGCUGUUCUUAUAUUAUCUUGCCUAUGUCCCACUUUAUUUGCUAGUUAUUUGUUUUAGCACGACAUUUCAGGUGGUAUAAUUUUGAUAGAGUUUUGACCAUUUUGCCUUUAUUUUUCAUUUGAUGAUUUUAUAAAUUUUAUUGAUAAGAAGACAAAGAUAAAAUUUAGUAUAAAGUAAAGAAAGUUGUAAAACAUAUUGGAACAUCUCAAAAUAUAAAUAAUAGCAAACAAAUUAAGACGGAAGAAGUAUUACUUAUGGUAUGACUGGUUUGUGUAAUGAAAUAAUAGUUUUAUAGUAUUGUGUUGAAAGAUCAUAUUUGCACAAUGAUAGGAUACUAUUAAUUAUACAUCAUCUAUGUUGUCGAUCAAACAUGGCCCUUAUUUGGUAAAUGCGUCUCAAAUUUAUUGUUCAAUACAUUUUUUAUACUUUUAAAAACGUGUUUGCGCUUUUAUAUUUUAUUUUUUAAUUUAUUGAAGGCAUUUUUCCAUCCCCGGUUUUAAUUUUGGAAGCCAAAACCUAACUUGAAACAAGGGGUGCUAUAUAUAGCCUUGACAUCCUCUUACAACAACUUUACCCUCUGAUUAGCUUUGAGAUUUUCAUCGUCGCUUCCGUUCUUUUUCCCAAAGUAUGUUUUUAGCAAUUCUAGAUUACAAUUGCAUGCAGAAUUUAGGAAGCUUUCUUGCCCAAAUAAUAACUGUUAUGUUAAAAGAUCGUAUUUUUCAGAAACUUAGAAUAAUAACUAUUAAUUAUUCAUCAUUAUGUUGUCAAUCAAGCACGACUGUUGUUUAAUAUAUGUGUCUAAAAUCUAAUCGUUCAACACGUUUUUAUGCUUUUAUAAACGUGUUUGCGCUUUUAUUAUUUUUUGUUUGCCUCUACUGUAGGCAUUUUUUGCCGCCUCCAGUUUUCGAUUUGGAAGCUAAACCUAAUCUGAAAAAUGGGGUGCUAUAUAUACCCCCAGCAUCCGCACGCAAAGAAAUCCUUAAUUUGCGAUUAGAUUUCACAUUUUCAUUUUUUCGUCUCUCUCCAUAGGUAUGUUCCCGGUCUUUCUAGAUUAUAUUGCUUUAUGUCGCUAAGAUUUUUUGCCCCUUAAAGUCAAUAUAUAUAUAUUUCAUGUUGCUUUUGUUGUAUUCUUCGCCUAUGCUUUGUGUUUGACCUUGUGUUUGAAUGAGUUUUUACGAUCUACUUUUUUCUUAUCUUGUUUUGAUGUAUCUUUUUUCUGUAAAUUCAUUUUUUGGUAUGGAUUUAUGAGUUUAAUAUUUUAUAUUGGCGUACUAAGUGAUGUUGCUUGGGAAGCUACGACUUGGCGCUAGAUUGGGUGGAUCUAUGAAUAUAUACAACUUAUAUAUGAUUAUUUUUUCUUGCUUAACAUGGAAUAAAUGUUGGAAUUUCUCAAAACAUGAUGAAUUUGCUUUGAAUGAUUAAUUUUUAUAAUAAUAUCUAGCAUAUGGAUCAGGAGUAAAGUACCAUUGAAAUCUAUCCAAAAAAAGUGUGAUGAUACCUUUGCAACAAGGUUCCCCUUGAGUUUUGUUUUUUAUUUUAGUUUAUUUUUAAAUAAAAACUAUAUGAAUCUUGAUAUAGAGGUUGUUUCAAGUCUUGAAUAUUGUACUAUAGCUAGGUAGUUCAUUUAAAUUUAAAUAUUCAAUUAAAUUUAAGAUUUAAAUGAUUUUGGAAUGUCAUUGAUUCAUAGACAAUUUCAAGUGCUUGUUUACUGGUGUGCUCUUAGUGCAUUCUUGAAUAUUCUUAUUUUCAUUGAUCUUGACUUUUUAUCUUAUAUGGAGUUCAUGAUACUUCUCGUAACUUUUAGAAUUAUCAAGGUGAAAAAGCAAAAAAAAUGGCCUAUAGAGGACUAGUGCUUCAUGAGGGCUCCAUAUCUCAACUUCUGCAGGAGUUAUCACCUUCAACUCCCUGUUUUGUGCAUGUACUGCAUGAUGCCGACUUCUCCCAGUCACUGCACUUGCCAGCUUCAUUUGCUCCAAGAGUGGAGCACUUGGUGGGCGUAGAAGUCCUACUUGAGGAUAUAUGUGGGCAGAUAUGGCCUGUGACUCUUUCCUAUGUCGAAAAUACAUUAUCAUUUGCGGAGGGAUGGAAAAAGUUUCAUAGGAGCCAUGAUCUCGAGAAGGGAUGUUCCUUGGUAUUUAGUUACGUGAAGGAGGGACAUUUUUUUGUUCAAGUAUAUGACCCAAGUGGCUGUGAAAGAACCUGCUUUAUCUAUCCAAUGCGUCUGCUGAACAACGAUGCUUGGACUCAUGCUGGGGUUGUUUCCAAUAUCCCUUGUGAUGCAGGAAAUGAUAAAGCAAAAAGAAAUGACAAGGGAAAGGAGCCAAUCAUAGGAAGGAAACGGGGAUUCAUUGAUCUUGAUGGAGCCCCAUUUAGUGCCAGCCACCGCAUUGCAAAACUGACCCCUGUGAGGCCGAUGAUGCCACCACCUGGAUUCAACAAGCCUAUAGAAAGUUUUCCCAAUGAGAGAAAUGUUGCCUUGGGACUUGGAAGCAUCCCAAUGGAUGGAGAGGGAGGGGGUUCCAAAGAAGCCCAAUCAUCUCAGAAUAGGAGCUCGAUGAAUCCGUCCAGUUGGAAGGCUUUCCCCCCUAGACCACCGGGAUUUUGAUGUAGGUUUUGCGCGGCAAACAAGGUGCUGCUUGUUUUGUCUCAAAAAUAUUUAAGCAGGAAGCUUGGCGUUGUUUUGGAAUUCCAAUUUCCAACCAUGAUUGGGAACUGCACAUGCUCGAGAACUUUUCUUCUCUAUUCAACCAUGGCAGAGGAUUCUCUUCCUCACAAGUCUGCUCUCAAACACAAAUUAAUCCUUGAUCCCUACCCUACUUGUGUACGGUGGUGCUGCAGAUGCAACCUAAAACAAAGACAGGUGAAACUUCCAAUUCAUCCAGCAUAGUGAGAUAGCUUCACCACUCUUAAUCUGUUUCCUCUGUUUUUCCAAUGCUUGAAAUGAAUCUGAUUUUUUAUUUUUUUUUUGCAUUUGUCAAUAACAAUAUGAUGCUCGUUAGCAAAUGACCGGUUUUAGCACUACACACUGCCCCUUCAAUUUUCACAAGAAUGCUCGUAGGUGUACGUGUUUUGUGUAUCUCUUUUUAA